UUUCCACAACACUGCGGUAAUUAAUUAGCUUGGUAAACAAAACGUGACUGAGAUUUUAGGAUAAAUUUCUGUUCAUUUCUUAGAGAGCGAGCAGUUUAUCUCGUGUGUGUGUGUCUAUCAUGAAGGGUGCGUACUUCACGCUCUUGUUGAUUACAGGACUAUUUGUGGCUGUCUCCUGUGACGGUACAGUGAAGUCCCUGUUGUGUGUUGCCAACGGUUCCUGCAAGACGGCGGAAGACUGUAUGAAAAUGAAGACUGAGGCCACUGAUGGAUAUGCACAUACACCCAUAUGCAGAUACGGGUGCUGCUACUAUCGUCACUAACGGGGUCAACACUACAGAGAUUGUCCAUUCUGU